CAUGAAUGUUUUAAGAAUGUUCAUUUUUUCUUCUUGUAUUCUGUGAAUUCAGCUUUGACCAAACUCAAACAAGGAAUAUGCUUUCUUUAACAAAAGGUACUUUAUAAUAUUCCUCUUUAUAUCCACUCAUAUGCGUAUAAAUAUACUUAAAAAAGGUAAACACCAAACAACAUUUUCUCCAAUUGAAGCUCAUGAAAUAUGAGCAAAAGAAGAGACAAACAAACAAGUUGAAGCAGCAUACAGAGUGAAUCAUGAUUCACUUCAUCAAGUAAAAGCCCCAAGAAGCAAAUCUUCAGCUUUUCAAGACGAUAUAAAGAAGCAAUUUGAAGCCUCUCAAGAACAUUAUUUGUAUCAAUAUCUUCCAAUAAGCUUUCAUGGCAUGCUUCCUUUAAAUCCACAACAUCAUACUUAUCAGCUGCUCUAAGAAGAUGGAGUCUAUGAACAAGAAAGUCUUGUUCUUCAAUGUUACCAUAAAUGUAACUCAAAAAAGCUUGGCAAGCUUCAAUGGACAUGUCGGAAAUGUUUAUGGCGGACAUUUCUUUUUCUUUUAGGUCAUGGGAGAACAUGCUUUGGAAGACAGGCGACCGGGCAGCCAGUACUGCCCGGUGGGCCCCCAUGCUUCCAUCUGAAGCAUGGAUGAUGAUAUCUGUGUGGAUGCUUUCAGAUAACAUUUUUCCAAGGGAGGAAAUCGCGGUUGAUCUUAAAUCCUUUUGUGUUAAACCUUCCGUCCAAACAGAGCAAGAUUCACCACCCUGUUACAUUAUGUCACACCGAAAAAGUAAGGAACUUUUUUUUUUUUACGAAUUUUAGAAAAAUAAUAUCGACACAUGAGUCAUGAUCUUAAUUAAACGGGGGACUUAAAAAUAAAAAUGUUGGUUAAUGUUGGUUGGCAACCGACACUAUCUAUCUAGACGCUGAAGUUAUAACUUCUAGUUCACCAACUAAAUAAUUAAUGUUGAAUUUUUGUGAUA